AGAUUCCCAGGCUGUUGAAGAAGGUGAUGGGCCUAAGAUUAGCUUGGAAGAAGGUUCUGACUUGGUUGAUAAAGAAGGAGAAGUAGGUGUUGUUGCUAAUGACCACAUUUUGGCUCCGAGAAAUGAAGAACCAGAGCAGGAAUUUUUUGCAGAAGUUUUCACUUCAGAAAUACCAAGAAUUGCAACAUCAUUAACAAACUCGCAAACAGUUGAAACACCCUCAAAUAGUAUUGAGAAAGUUGCCGUAGAGGAAACCAUAGCAAAGAACACCAAUAUGGAAGCUUCAUCCAUUCUUUCCGAAUCCGCCACCUUUCAGUUGGACCUAACAGUUACUUUACAAAGUAAAUCACAUCCACAUGUAAGUUUAUUUUAUGCAAUUCACAUUUCUAACAUAUUCGGUCAGAAUAAAAAGGAUGUUGCCAUUCUGAUUUUAGGAGUGGAAUUGAAAAACAAAAAGUAC
rnacentral:sRNA from 1 species